CAAAGUUCUACAGACUGAAAUAUGAGAUUGACUAUUUUGCUAUUAUUUGUCUUCAAGUGUGUGGAAAUCCAAAGUUUGGGUUCUGAAACAAAAACAGGAAGGGGUUUUCAAACAAAAAUAAUACCAGGAAGGG
rnacentral:lncRNA from 1 species